AAUGGGAGAGAAACUUUGCAUAUGCAAAGAGAGAGAAAGAAACAAAGAAAAAAAAAAGUGAAAGCUCAAAGUUAGGGAAGAGAGAGAGAGAGCUUAGAUACUUGUAUGCACAUAUUCAUAUGCAAGUACAGUGAGGAGAGAGAGAGAGCAGCAGGCACAACAAAACAGCACAACCUUUGUCCAAGUCCUUGAGAGAGAAAAAGUAUACAUAUAAAAGAAAUAUAGAGAGAGAAGCACAAAACCAAGAAAAACAAAACAAAACACAAGUAUAUCAAGUCUUGAGAGAGAGAGAGAAGAGAGAGAAAGUGAGGGUUGUUGCCGAGUUUAGCUGCAAAGAACGAGGAAGAACGAGGAAGAAACCCUAACCCUAACGAAAUGUUUCAUUUUGCUGCUCUGAGCUGUGGUGACCAGUAAGGCUUGUAUUUUUCUUCCUCUUUGUCUGCACAAGUGAAACAAUUGCGCGUAAAGUUCACAUUUUUGCGGUAAUUUGUUGUGAAAUCAAGCCUUUUAUAAACUGCUUUCUGGUGAUUCAUGUUUUGCUGCAUAUCUAGCUCUUUUAGUUUGCUGGAUUUUUGUACAAGGAGCUGAGUGGGGUUUCUGUGAAGUGGGGUUGCUGAAGCUGCAGGUUCUGGUGUUCUUUUUUUAUUGGUUGUUUGUGAAUCUCCUGUUUUUAUUUAGCUUUUUGGUGAAUUGGGUUUGUUUUGUUUUGGUAAAGAAAUUAACAAACUUGAUGUUCAAGUACGUAUCUAUAUUUGGUGUUUGAUGUGUAAUUGGAAGGAAUUUUUAUCAGCUAAAUUGUUCUGAAGAGGAAACAGUUUCUGGGUACUCUACAGUCCACCAAACUGUGGAGUAUUUGGGACUUGAAAUAGCUUUCAAGGGAAGCUUGUGUUGGCUAUUGGAAAUUAGCGCUGUUGCUUUAAUAUCUGACUGUUGCACUGGAGCGUUUAGGGGUACCGGGGACAAUGUCUUCGUUGAGUAGGGAAUUGGUGUUUUUAAUCUUACAGUUCUUGGAGGAGGAGAAGUUCAAGGAAACAGUUCAUAAGUUAGAGCAAGAGUCUGGUUUUUUCUUCAAUAUGAAACAUUUUGAGGAUCAAGUUCAGGCUGGUGAAUGGGAUGAGGUUGAGCGUUAUUUGUGUGGGUUCACAAAGGUUGAAGAUAAUCGCUACUCCAUGAAGAUUUUCUUCGAAAUUAGGAAGCAGAAAUAUUUAGAAGCUCUUGACAGGCAGGAUCGGGCAAAAGCUGUUGAGAUUCUUGUCAAGGACCUUAAGGUUUUUGCAUCCUUCAAUGAAGAACUCUUCAAGGAGAUAACUCAGUUGCUUACUCUUGAUAAUUUUAGGCAAAAUGAGCAGCUUUCCAAAUAUGGAGACACAAAAUCAGCUCGAAACAUCAUGCUUGUGGAACUUAAAAAGCUUAUUGAAGCAAACCCAUUAUUUCGUGACAAGCUUACAUUUCCAUCCUUCAAAAGCUCGCGCCUUAGGACUUUAAUAAACCAGAGUCUAAAUUGGCAGCAUCAGCUUUGCAAAAAUCCUCGCCCAAAUCCUGAUAUUAAAACACUCUUCACAGAUCAUUCUUGCACGCCGACAACUGCUAAUGGGGCUCGCCCUCCACCUCCCACAAACAAUCCCAUUGUGGGACCAAUUCCCAAGGCUGGUGCAUUUCCUCCAAUUGGUGCCCAUGGUCCAUUUCAGCCUGUUGUUUCCCCAUCUCCUGGUGCUCUUGCUGGGUGGAUGUCAAGCAAUAAUCCUUCUUUGCCUCACCCUGCUGUGGCAGCAGGGCCUCCUGGUCUUGUGCAGCCUUCUAGUGCAGCUGCCUUCUUGAAACACCCAAGAACACCCUCUGGUAUGACUGGGAUUGAUUAUCAAUCAGCUGAUUCAGAGCACUUGAUGAAGCGUAUGCGCGCUGGCCAAUCUGAUGAGGUGUCAUUUUCUGGUGUAGCACAUACUCCCAAUGUCUAUUCACAGGAUGACCUGGCCAAAACUGUUGUACGGUCCCUUAAUCAAGGAUCUAAUGUUAUGAGCAUGGACUUCCAUCCACAGCAGCAAACCAUUUUGCUAGUUGGGACAAAUGUUGGUGACAUUAGCCUUUGGGAAGUUGGCUCCCGGGAAAGGUUGGCACAUAAACCCUUCAAAGUGUGGGAUAUCUCAGUUGCUUCAAUGCCACUGCAGGUAUUGUUUAUAUAAAUUAGAUCUAAUGUUGAUCAUUCAUAUGUUUUGUUGAAUUUGACACCCAUAGACCCCAAAUCUUUAGAGUGUAAUUUAAUCUUGGGCCUUUUGGUAACAUCGUCACUUGAGGACUUCAUUACUUGGCAAGUGAGAAUGCCAUUGAUAGUGAUGGAGUUCGGUAUUUGGAAUGGUAGUUUAUCCUUCUUCUCAAAAUGAUCAAUUAUUAUAUUGCUAGCAGACAGCAUUGUUGAAUGAUGCUGCAAUAUCAGUGAAUCGAUGUGUCUGGGGAUCUGAUGGACUUAUGCUUGGUAUGUAUAUGAAUCUGUUACUCGUUAACUGAUGUGAGUUAAUUUAUUUAAUUUAUUUAUCAUGUUUUAUUAACUGUUGUACUUCCAAUUGAAUAUGUUCUAGGGGUUGCAUUUUCUAAACAUAUAGUGCAGAUUUAUACUUACAAUCCAACUGGAGAACUGAGACAGCAUUUAGAGAUUGAUGCCCAUGUUGGUGGGGUUAAUGACAUAGCAUUUGCUCAUCCCAACAAGCAGCUAUGCAUCGUCACUUGUGGUGAUGACAAGAUGAUUAAGGUUUGGGAUGCUGUAGCUGGACGCAGGCAAUAUACAUUUGAAGGCCAUGAAGCUCCUGUAUAUUCUGUUUGCCCUCAUUACAAAGAAAAUAUCCAGUUCAUUUUUUCUACAGCAAUUGAUGGGAAGAUUAAGGCUUGGCUAUAUGAUUCUUUGGGAUCUAGAGUGGACUAUGAUGCUCCUGGACUUUGGUGUACCAUGAUGGCAUACAGUGCAGAUGGGACUAGGCUUUUUUCAUGUGGAACAAGUAAAGAAGGUGAAUCUCAUCUAGUUGAGUGGAAUGAGAGUGAAGGAACUAUCAAACGGACGUAUUCUGGUUUUAGGAAGCGUUCUUCAGGCGUUGUUCAGUUUGACACAACAAGGAGCCGCUUCUUAGCUGCUGGUGAUGAAUUUCAGAUUAAGUUUUGGGAUAUGGAUAAUAUCAACAUGUUGACAGCAGUUGAUGCAGAUGGGGGCUUACCGGCAAGUCCUAGACUGAGAUUCAACAAGGAAGGUUCCUUGUUAGCAGUCACAACUAGUGAUAAUGGUAUCAAAAUUUUAGCUAAUAGUGAUGGAUUGCGCCUAAUAAGGAUGCUGGAGAGCAGGGCUAUUGAUAAAAAUCGUAGCCCAUCUGAACCUAUCAACUCUAAGGUAAUUUUGUUUGGUCUUCCUGAACAAGGCUGACUCUGAGAGGUAAAUGAUGUUAUUAACUGUACCCCUGAUAUUUUUACACGAAAUCUUAAAUAUAUAAGAAUGAAAAUGAAUUUGCAAGUAGCCAAAGGCUGCCUCGGGCCUCAUCAGGUAUCACUGUGGUUUAUUUGUCUUUGGGUUUCCAAAAGAAAUGAACAGUACAUAGUUUUUUGUUCUGUAUUCUGAAACCUCUCGUUCACUCUCUCAUAUAUGUGUGCAGAGAUUUUUCUAACAUUUUUUAAUUGAGUGUACUAAACUCUCCUUCCACCUUUGCUGGUGCACAAAGAUUAUUAUCUUUCAACGAAACCCAUUAUUUGUUCUCCUCCUAUGCAUUUAUAUGUGAACAUAUUUCAAAAGCUUACAUCUCUCUAUCAAUGUUUUACUAUGAAAUCUCAAUGUCCAAAGGGACAAUUGUAAUUCUUUAUGCCAGUGUAUAUAUUCAAUAGGUCAAGAAAAGCAAUGCAAUCCAGUGAAUUUUAUCAAGAAGCAAACAAAAUUCUGGCAAACACAAAGUGAGAACGUUAUAAUUGAAGUCUUUUUGCUGAUGACAAAGGCUAAUCAUCACUUGUUGAGGGGGGUAAUGGUUUUGCCUAUAUUGCCAAUUGCUAGGAUCUUAAAUUACUAGUUUGGAGAGGAGAAAGGUGUAGGAAUUGGGGUUUGAAUUAUCUUAAAUUUAGUAAUAUCCAUUUCUUCUUAUGUGUGUCCAUGUGAUGUUUCCUUUUAUCCUUCUAUAAUAUGAUAUUCUGUCAUUUCUCUGUAAAUUUACUUAAAUGUUUUGGUGGUGGGUUUCUUAUGCCAAUCUAUUAUGCUUUACAACUUCACUGCAGCCACUGAUUGUUAAUGCACUUGGGCCUGUGGCAAAUGUUUCUUCUGGCAUUGCUCCGGUACUAGAACGCUCAGAUAGAAUCCCACCUGCUGUGACCAUUAGCAGUCUUGGUACGAUGGACAACAGUAGGCUUGUUGAUGUUAAACCACGGAUUUCAGAUGAAUUAGACAAGAUUAAGAGCUGGAAAAUUCCUGAUAUUGUUGAUCCAUCUCAGUUGAAGGCUCUGCGUUUGCCGGACCCCAUAGCUACUGGCAAGGUUGUGCGAUUGAUUUACACCAACUCUGGCCUAGCUCUGUUGGCCCUUGCCUCCAAUGCUGUUCACAAACUUUGGAAAUGGCAGCGCAGUGAAAGGAAUCAAUCUGGAAAGGCUACUGCAUAUGUUGCACCGCAGUUGUGGCAGCCUCCUAGUGGAACUCUUAUGACUAAUGACAUAAGUGAUAAUAAACCAGCUGAAGAAUCUGCUGCGUGCAUUGCUUUAUCCAAGAAUGAUUCUUACGUCAUGUCUGCAUCUGGUGGGAAGGUAUCUUUGUUCAACAUGAUGACAUUCAAGGUCAUGACAACAUUUAUGUCCCCACCUCCUGCUGCCACAUUUUUGGCCUUCCAUCCUCAGGACAAUAAUAUCAUU
rnacentral:misc_RNA from 1 species